GGACUACACGGGUAUCUAAUCCUGUUUGCUCCCCACGCUUUCGUGUAUGAGUGUCAAUAUUGGACCAGGUCGCCGCCUUCGCCACCGGUGUUCCUCCGGAUAUCUACGUAUUUCACCACUACACCCGGAAUUCCACGACCCUCUUCCAUAUUCAAGUUUAACAGUUUUGAAUGCACUUCUUGAGUUAAGCCCAAGGAUUUCACAUCCAACUUGAAAAACAACCUGCACACGCUUUACGCCCAAUGAUUCCGAACAACGCUAGGACCCCCCGUCUUACCGCGGCUGCUGGCAC
rnacentral:rRNA from 1 species